GACGAACGCUGGCGGCGUGCUUAACACAUGCAAGUCGAGCGGUAAGGCCCUUUCGGGGGUACACGAGCGGCGAACGGGUGAGUAACACGUGGGUGACCUGCCCUUAGCUCUGGGAUAAGCCUGGGAAACUGGGUCUAAUACCGGAUAUGACUCCAUAACGCAUGUUGUGGGGUGGAAAGCCUUGUGCGGCUAGGGAUGGGCCCGCGGCCUAUCAGCUUGUUGGUGGGGUGAUGGCCACCAAGGCGACGACGGGUAGCCGGCCUGAGAGGGCGACCGGCCACACUGGGGACUGAGACACGGCCCAGACUCCUACGGGAGGCAGCAGUGGGGAAUCUUGCGCAAUGGGCGAAAGCCUGACGCAGCGACGCCGCGU
rnacentral:rRNA from 1 species